UACGUAGGGAGCUAGCGUUGUUCGGAAUUACUGGGCGUAAAGCGCGCGUAGGCGGCUUUGUAAGUUAGAGGUGAAAGCCCGGGGCUCAACCCCGGAACAGCCUUUAAGACUGCAUCGCUAGAAUCCGGGAGAGGUGAGUGGAAUUCCGAGUGUAGAGGUGAAAUUCGUAGAUAUUCGGAAGAACACCAGUGGCGAAGGCGGCUCACUGGCCCGAUACUGACGCUGAGGCACGAAAGCGUGGGGAGCAAACAGG
rnacentral:rRNA from 1 species